ACUCCUGCGGGAGGCAGCAGUGGGGAAUUUUGGACAAUGGGCGAAAGCCUGAUCCAGCAAUGCCGCGUGUGUGAAGAAGGCCUUCGGGUUGUAAAGCACUUUUGUCCGGAAAGAAAUCCUUGGCUCUAAUACAGUCGGGGGAUGACGGUACCGGAAGAAUAAGCACCGGCUAACUACGUGCCAGCAGCCGCGGUAAUACGUAGGGUGCGAGCGUUAAUCGGAAUUACUGGGCGUAAAGCGUGCGCAGGCGGUUUGCUAAGACCGAUGUGAAAUCCCCGGGCUCAACCUGGGAACUGCAUUGGUGACUGGCAGGCUAGAGUAUGGCAGAGGGGGGUAGAAUUCCACGUGUAGCAGUGAAAUGCGUAGAGAUGUGGAGGAAUACCGAUGGCGAAGGCAGCCCCCUGGGCCAAUACUGACGCUCAUGCACGAAAGCGUGGGGAGCAAACAGGAUUAGAAACCCUUGUAGUCCCAUG
rnacentral:rRNA from 1 species